CCAGCUCCAAUAGCGUAUAUUAAAGUUGUUGCAGUUAAAAAGCUCGUAGUUGGAUUUCUGGGGAGGUGCCAAUGUCACCUUAGUGUUGCGCAGCGGCGCCUCUCCAUCCUUCUGUUAACGUCGUUGGACCUUAAUCAGUCUGCGGCGGGCUCAGAUAUUUUACCUUGAGAAAAUUAGAGUGUUUCAGGCAGGCCAGGCCGGAAUACAUUAGCAUGGAAUAAUGGAAUAGGACUUUAGUCUCUUUGUUGGUUUGGGGGACUGCAGUAAUGAUUAAUAGGGAUAGUUGGGGGCAUUAAUACUUAACUGUCAGAGGUGGAAUUCUCAGAUUUGUUAAAGAUUAACUUAUGCGAAAGCAUUUGCCAAGGAUGUUUUCA
rnacentral:rRNA from 1 species